CAAGUGAGGGCAGACAGCGACAGUUUAAUUGGGCUGCUCUCUAUAACUCUAUCUGGGGCUGUAAGCACUGGACUAUAAACAAGGGAAACACUGCACUCAAUACCAAACUGCAGCAGCCCACAGAAAAAAGAAGCUACUUCUGAUGGCAGGAUCUCUCAUUUACCCUGGCGUCAGGUUGGCUACAGGUGAACAGGAGCAAUGUAAGCGCUGCAGCCGAAGAAAGAUGAUGCCUAACAUCAUGACAACAGUGAAGAGAAAAGGUCUCUGUACCUGCCUACCUACAACAAGUUUCUGUAAAGUAAUGAAUAGAGACAGCUUGGGGACCAUCCACCUGCGCUGACUGCCUUUUACUGCCUGCAAAGUGAAACCACGAGGGAUUGGCAGAAGGGAGAGACCUAGUGAGCCUAAAUUGGAACAACUUCUUUAUAAGGAGAUUUAAAUACAUAAUUAAGUUGUUUGCAACAUGCUGAGAUACCUAUGGUUUUAUUUAUAGAUAGAAACCCUAGAUUAUUAUCCCAAACCCAAAAGGCCUCUGGAUUGUCUCAAAGUACUGAAACAUCUUACAUUAGGUUCAUGUAAAGUACACUCUAUGGAAUUAUGCUUUUCUGAGAAAUAAAGAUCAACAUUAUCUGUCACUAGAUAAAGGUAGUAGUUCAUAAAACUAGAAAAUAUGACCAACUUUUAACAGCUGCUAGAUAGUCACUUAACUCUAUUAUCAUGGAAUCAAUGCCCUUUUUUAAUGUGGUGUCCAAAACAGGCUGCUUUUUAGCACAGUACACUCCUAGAAGUCAGAAAGAUCUGGAUUAAAAUCCUGCCCCUGACAUUAACUGUGUGUGCAAGUCACCUAACUUCUCAACUUCCUCAUCCACAAAAUGGAGAUAAUCUUUACUUCACUGGGCAGUUGUGAAGAUCAAAUAAAUUAAUGUAUAAAAAAGUACUUUGAAAACAUUAAAGUUCCAUAAACAUUUUAGCCAUUUAAAAUUCACUGUUGUCUUCUCAAUCUAAUUCAACAACCUCUGUUUGCUCUUGACCCAUUACUCUGACUAGUAGCAACUAGUACAUUUCUGAUAAUCAGUCAAUAUUGUUGUUCUGUUGUUUCAAUCAUGUCAGACUCUUUGUAAUCUUAUUUGGGAUUUUCUUGGUAAAGGCACCGGAGUAGUUUGCCAUUUUCUUCUCUAGCUCAUUUUAAAGAUGAGGAAACUGAGGAAAACAGGAUUAAGUGACUUGCCCAGGUCACACAGUUAGUAAAUGCCUAAGGCCAGAUUCGAAUUCAGGAAGAUAAUAAGUCUUCCUGACUUCAGGCCUGGCACUCUAUCCACUGUGCUACAUCUUUGUCUGCAGAGUACCUGCUCUACUCAGUCAAAAGGAUAAGCAUAUUAAUCCUUCCUCAUAAAUUGCAGUUUGUCUUUCCUGUCAAAUUAAAGUUAUAUACACUUUAUACUGAAAAUCAAGAUGUUUAAAGGAAUUUUAAAAAUAAAAGCAUCACCUUGCAUAAUUUCCAAAGUGCUUCCAUGGAUAUUAUCUUAAUCCUCUCAAUAAAUGAGAGAGAGAAGACAGGUAUUAUCUCCAUUUGUCUGAUAAGGAAAAUGAAAUACAUAAAUAUUAAGCAAUGUGUCCAACUGAUAGAAUGUAAGUUCCAUGAAGGCAGGGACUGUUUUGUUUUCCGUCUUUGUAUUUUAGCUUCUAGCAUAGUGCUUUGCACUCAAUAGGAGCAGUGCACUGUACCUUGCAUGGAGAUAGUUUUAAAGGCUAGAAAAGAGUUUGCAGUUUCUUUGGGCCAUGUUUUUUCACUGUAUCACAUUGUUUUCAAAUUCACAACUGUAUUCUAUAUUUCUUUUCGACAAGUGGAAAGGAUAACAAAAGAGCAAAACCUUUCAGAGGAAAGAAACAUCCAGUCACUGUCUAUCUCUAUACUCCAAACUUCCCUCACAAGACAAUAUAUUUAUAAAAUAUGCAUGCACCUUAAAUGUCCCAUGGAAAGCAAAAUAAAGGACUGGACCCUGUUAUCUAUUCAAAAGGG